GAUCCGGUAGUUCAGCUGGUUAGAAUGCCGCCCUGUCACGGCGGAGGUCGCGGGUUCGAGUCCC
rnacentral:tRNA from 1 species